rnacentral:pre_miRNA from 1 species
AUAACGUUAUAACCAAUCAUAAUGGCACUAAAUUAUAUAUAUUAGUGCCAUUAUGAUUGGUUAUAACGUUAU